rnacentral:lncRNA from 1 species
CGCCUUCCCUCGCCUCAGCUAAGCAAACCCCAAACUCUCCGAAGUCUUCCUGUGCAGCCGGAAGACUUUUCCAUCCGUUCAGCUUCGCUCAGGUGCCCCAAAGUGCCUUGAUCGCCCCCCUUCUUUUGUUAAAUAAGGGACCAUCUUUCCCCCGCACCACCAUGCCAGGACCGACAUUGCUACAACAUUUGGGAAGCAUAUGAAAAUAGAAAGAGGCGUCGCUCUGCGCAGCAGCAGCAGUGUCGUGUGGAUGCACUCUGGUGAAGCAGCACAGUGUAAGCAAAGACCCGCUGAAAGCGAGCUAGCGAGUGAGGGAUGCUUACCCAAAAACUAGAGCCGCAAAAGUCGUCCAUGGUGCCCAUCUGAACAGCGGGNGGGCCAGCUCGUGGGACCCCGGGAGAGGAGCCCCGCCCGCCACGACCGGUCUCGUCCCGCCGCUUGUUUCGAGUUGUUCCUUCUCCAAGAGCAGCAGCUGCCUUGCCUGACGCCCCGCUUCCCUUCCGCCAGGCAGUCUAGGGCGGAUGUUCGCCUCAGGAAGGUGGGCGGGGAACGAAUGGACUUGCCUCAGCGUCCGUGCCGUUGAAGUUGUUAAGCCCCGUCGUCGUGCAGAAAAGGGGGGUCUUUCCCUGCGGCGGGGGGAGCUGAUGAUUGCUGCUGCCCCUGCUCGUGUGAGGGAGCGCGCCGCCGACGGAGCGGAGCCUGUUGCUGCUGAAAGCCAUUCACUUCAGGGCGCCUCGUUGGAAAGGAAUAGAAUUUCUCCAUAA